rnacentral:rRNA from 1 species
AUUGAACGCUGGCGGCAGGCCCAACACAUGCAAGUCGAACGGUAGCACAGAGAGCUUGCUCUCAGGUGACGAGUGGCGGACGGGUGAGUAAUGUCUGGGAAACUGCCCGAUGGAGGGGGAUAACUACUGGAAACGGUAGCUAAUACCGCAUAACGUCGCUAGACCCAAGUGGGGGACCUUCGGGCCUCACACCAUCGGAUGUGCCCAGAUGGGAUUAGCUAGUAGGUGGGGUAAUGGCUCACCUAGGCGACGAUCCCUAGCUGGUCUGAGAGGAUGACCAGCCACACUGGAACUGAGACACGGUCCAGACUCCUACGGGAGGCAGCAGUGGGGAAUAUUGCACAAUGGGCGCAAGCCUGCUGCAGCCAUGCCGCGUGUAUGAAGAAGGCCUUCGGGUUGUAAAGUACUUUCAGCGGGGAGGAAGGCGGUGAAGUUAAUAACUUCACCGAUUGACGUUACCCGCAGAAGAAGCACCGGCUAACUCCGUGCCAGCCGCCGCGGUAA